rnacentral:snRNA from 1 species
GUACUUACCUGGCGGGGAGAUACCCUGAUCACGAAGGUGGUUUUCCCAGGGCGAGGCUUAUCCAUUGCCAUCCGGAUGUUCUGACCCCUGCGAUUUCCCCAAAUGUGGGAAACUCGACUGCAUCAUUUGUGGUAGUGGGGGACUGCGUUCAUGCUCUCCCCUG